UACGAGGGGGGCAAAUGUUGUUCGGAAUCACUGGGCGUAAAGGGAGCGUAGGCGGGCUUCUAAGUUAGGUGUUUAAUCCCAGGGCCCAACCCUGGUCAGGCACCUAAAACUGGGAGUCUUGAAUAGUGGAGAGGACGAUGGAAUUGGGGGUGUAGCGGUGGAAUGCGUAGAGAUCCCCAAGAACACCAGUUGCGGAGGCGGUCGUCUGGACACAUAUUGACGCUGAGGCUCGAAAGCAUGGGGAGCAAACAGG
rnacentral:rRNA from 1 species